rnacentral:rRNA from 1 species
CAGCAGCCACGGGAAUACGAAGGGUGCAAGCGUUAAUCGGAAUUACUGGGCGUAAAGCGUGCGUAGGCGGUGAGUUAAGUCUGCUGUGAAAUCCCCGGGCUCAACCUGGGAAUGGCAGUGGAUACUGGCUCGCUAGAGUGUGUCAGAGGAUGGUGGAAUUCCCGGUGUAGCGGUAAAAUGCGUAGAGAUCGGGAGGAACACCAGUGGCGAAGGCGGCUCACUGGACGACUGUUGACGCUGAGGUACGAAAGCGUGGGGAGCAAACAGGAUUAGAUACCCGCGUAGUCCCUGUCUCUUAUAU